rnacentral:rRNA from 1 species
UACGAAGGGGGGCUAGCGUUGCUCGGAAUUACUGGGCGUAAAGGGAGCGUAGGCGGAUAGUUCAGUCAGAGGUGAAAGCCCAGGGCUCAACCUUGGAAUUGCCUUUGAUACUGGCUGUCUUGAGUAUGGGAGAGGUUAGCGGAACUCCGAGUGUAGAGGUGAAAUUCGUAGAUAUUCGGAAGAACACCAGUGGCGAAGGCGGCUAACUGGCCCAUUACUGACGCUGAGGCUCGAAAGCGUGGGGAGCAAACAGGG